rnacentral:rRNA from 1 species
CAAUAGCGUAUAUUUAAGUUGCUGCAGUUAAGAAGCUCGUAGUUGGAUUUCGGGUGGGAAUGGCCGGUCCGCCGUUUCGGUGUGCACUUGCUACGCCCACCUUGCUGCCGGGGACGUGCUCUUGAGUUCACGCUCGGGACACGGAGUCGGCGAGGUUACUUUGAGUAAAUUAGAGUGUUCAAAGCAGGCCUACGCUCUGAAUACAUUAGCAUGGAAUAACACGAUAGGACUCUGGCCUAUCUUGUUGGUCUGUAGGACCGGAGUAAUGAUUAAGAGGGACAGUCGGGGGCAUUCGUAUUUCAUUGUCAGAGGUGAAAUUCUUGGAUUUAUGAAAGACGAACUACUGCGAAAGCAUUUGCCAAGGAUGUUUUCAUUGA